rnacentral:rRNA from 1 species
AUAAGUAAUGUGAAUUGCAGAUUUUCAGUGAAUCAUCGAAUCUUUGAACGCACCUUGCGCUCCUUGGUAUUCCGAGGAGCAUGCCUGUUUGAGUGUCAU